rnacentral:lncRNA from 1 species
AGAAGUCAUUUUGAAACUGGCAUCCUUGAGUUAUUGUGAUUUUUUAAGAGAGAACACUAUGAAAAGGAAUUGGGAGAGACGCUAGGGCGCAGUCUCUACAUCCUGAUGCCUCCGCAGCACUGCUGGGAACUCAGGGGAGACUGUGCCAGGCUCUAGAAAUCCAGAAGAUCUCACCAUGUUAUACAGGGAUUUGUUUAUUUAGAAUCUGGAUAUCAUAGUCAUCACAAGUGAAGAUCUGUGAAGAGCAGUUAAGUGUCCCAAGUCAUACCAGUGCAAGAGCAUCAUCAGUGAAGACCAGCAAAGCAUUGCAAGGUGAGCCAAUGCAAGAGCAGCAUUCACUGUCUGUUGGGUUCUACUUAUAGUUUUUCCAAACAUCACACAUCCUCUCAAGUGUCUGCCUCAGAAAAACAUCCUCUCAUCAGCAUAACAUCCUCUUAUAAGACAGGUUCCAGAAAGAACAUCAUGGGACACAACUGAGUCUUCAAAGAAACCAGAAAUUUCCCCUUCAGCUCACCUUGGAAAAGAAUCUUGGUGAGGAGUUGUCUACAUCAGGCUGGCUGUGAUAAACAAGGAAACAUGUAUACAUUCAUGUAUACAUUCUACCUGCUCUUGACUAUGGAUGCAAUGUGAUUCAUCUACUACAAACUCUUGCUUUGACUUUUCCACAAUGAUUUACUGUAUCCUAGAUACAUAAGCUGAAAUAACAGCCAACCUGCUUUCCAUGAGAUAUUUGAUCAUAGCAAUAAAUGACACUAGAACAUCUCAGUGUUUUGCCCCUUAUUAUUAAAUUGUUCAUUUUAUUACAUUGUCAAUUCUUAACAAUUGUCAAAUUGUUAAAUUGCUCAAUUGUUAAAGAAAAUGACUAAAA